CUAGUGGUAAUCUCGCACUUGGAGCACCCGUACGAGUACUCGGUUACUCUCGUUUGUUUGCUUCGGGAAGGUCUGAGAAAAGGCAUGCGAAUAUACCUCAGCAAGGUAGCCUCUUGAAAGGGGUGUCCGUUACCAGCAAUUCAUCAGUUGUGGAUGAUGCGGUUCCCCGGAACGUGUUCUGGGUUAACCGCUUGGAAAAGGCGGAUUGCCAGCAAUUUAAGUCAAAUUUGCGAGCUGCCCCCACCAACCGGGGUAGAACUCAAUUCAGACUAAUCUAUCACUAG
rfam:Anopheles sinensis unplaced genomic scaffold AS2_scf7180000695960, whole genome shotgun sequence.